GUGGACAGCGUAGCCUGUUGAUAGGUUAGUUAGAAAACACCUCCUACAUUUCAUUGUGUAUUAAAGGACAUGCAAACUGAAGGGAAACAUUUCUGGAGAACUUUGUUUAAAAAUCCAUACGACCGACUGAACACAGAAGACUUUCUUCUUCUUUUGACUCCUGUUUUUCAACAGAUUUUAACCUGAUUCAGCUCCAUUUUUCAGGGCUGUAAGCUGAACUGCUGUGGGUGAACCAGCCAACUAACCAGUAGGGACUUGAACCACUGCAGGUGAACCAAACAACCACUCCUCAGUCACACAGAAAAAUCUGGAAAAAUGAAGAUCCUCUUUGCCUGUUUGCUGCUGGCGCUGCUCGUUGCCACUGGGUUCGCAAAACCAAAAGCCUACA